CGGCGAGUGAAGCGGCAAAAGCUCAAAUUUGAAAUCUGGCACCUUCGGUGUCCGAGUUGUAAUUUGAAGAUUGUAACCUUGGGGUUGGCUCUUGUCUAUGUUUCUUGGAACAGGACGUCACAGAGGGUGAGAAUCCCGUGCGAUGAGAUGCCCAAUCCUAUGUAAGGUGCUUUCGAAGAGUCGAGUUGUUUGGGAAUGCAGCUCUAAGUGGGUGGUAAAUUCCAUCUAAAGCUAAAUAUUGGCGAGAGACCGAUAGCGAACAAGUACAGUGAUGGAAAGAUGAAAAGAACUUUGAAAAGAGAGUGAAAAAGUACGUGAAAUUGUUGAAAGGGAAGGGUUUGAGAUCAGACUCGAUAUUUUGUGAGCCUUGCCUUCGUGGCGGGGUGACCCGCAGCUUAUCGGGCCAGCAUCGGUUUGGGCGGUAGGAUAAUGGCGUAGGAAUGUGACUUUGCUUCGGUGAAGUGUUAUAGCCUGCGUUGAUGCUGCCUGCCUAGACCGAGGACUGCGAUUUUAUCAAGGAUGCUGGCAUAAUGAUCCCAAACCGCCCGUCUUGAACCACGGAC
rnacentral:rRNA from 1 species